AUUGAACGCUGGCGGCAGGCCUAACACAUGCAAGUCGAGCGAGCGGCGGACGGGUGAGUAAUGUAUGGGGACUGCCCGAUGGAGGGGGAUAACUACUGGAAACGGUAGCUAAUACCGCAUACUAUCGGAUAACCCAUAUGGGAUUAGCUAGUAGGUGAGGUAAUGGCUCACCUAGGCGACGAUCCCUAGCUGGUCUGAGAGGAUGAUCAGCAACCUUGGGACUGUGACACGGCCCAGACUCAUACGGAGGAAGAAGGGGGGAAUAUUGCACAAGGGGCGCAAGCUGGAUGAAGCCAUGCCGCGUGUAUGAAGAAGGCCCUAGGGUUGUAAAGUACUUGCAGUCGGGAGGCGUUACCGACAGAAGAAGCACCGGCUAACUCCGUGCCAGCAGCCGCGGUAAUAC
rnacentral:rRNA from 1 species